rnacentral:tRNA from 1 species
AGAGGAUUAGCUCAGUUGGUUUAGAGCACUUGAUUUACAUUCAAGGGGUCAUGAGUUCGAAUCUCAUAUCCUCUA